ACCUUUGCGCAGUGGGGAUAACGUAACCAAUGAGGUUUUACCGAGAUGCGAUUAUUGCUAGUUGAAAAAAAUCCUAUUUAACAUUAUAUCAUGUUUUCUACUAGAAAUUUGGAAACGUUUUUUUUCUUGAUAAUGGUUUAUAUUA